GAUGAACGCUGGCGGCGUGCCUAAUACAUGCAAGUCGAGCGAACAGACGAGGAGCUUGCUCCUCUGACGUUAGCGGCGGACGGGUGAGUAACACGUGGAUAACCUACCUAUAAGACUGGGAUCACUUCGGGACACCGGAGCUAAUACCGGAUAAUAUAUUGAUCCGCAUGGUUCAAUAGUGAAAGACGGUUUUGCUGUCACUUAUAGCUGGAUACGGGCUGCAUUAGCUAGUUGGUAAGGUCACGGCUUACCAAGGCGACGAUGCGUAGCCGACCUGAGAGGGUGAUCGGCCACACUGGAACUGAGACACGGACCAGAGUCCUACGGGAGGCAGCAGUAGGGAAUCUUCCGCAAUGGGCGAAAGCCUGACGGAGCAGCGCCGCGUGAGUGAUGAAGGUCUUCGGAUCGGAAAACUCUGUUAUUAGGGAAGAACAAAUGUGUAAGUAACUGUGCACGUCUUGACGGUACCGAAUCAGAAAGCCACGGCUAACUACGUG
rnacentral:rRNA from 1 species